rnacentral:rRNA from 1 species
AGAGUUUGAUCCUGGCUCAGGACGAACGCUGGCGGCGUGCCUAAUACAUGCAAGUCGAACGCUUCUUUUUCCACCGGAGCUUGCUCCACCGGAAAAAGAAGAGUGGCGAACGGGUGAGUAACACGUGGGUAACCUGCCCAUCAGAAGGGGAUAACACUUGGAAACAGGUGCUAAUACCGUAUAACAAUCGAAACCGCAUGGUUUUGAUUUGAAAGGCGCUUUCGGGUGUCGCUGAUGGAUGGACCCGCGGUGCAUUAGCUAGUUGGUGAGGUAACGGCUCACCAAGGCCACGAUGCAUAGCCGACCUGAGAGGGUGAUCGGCCACAUUGGGACUGAGACACGGCCCAAACUCCUACGGGAGGCAGCAGUAGGGAAUCUUCGGCAAUGGACGAAAGUCUGACCGAGCAACGCCGCGUGAGUGAAGAAGGUUUUCGGAUCGUAAAACUCUGUUGUUAGAGAAGAACAAGGAUGAGAGUAACUGUUCAUCCCUUGACGGUAUCUAACCAGAAAGCCACGGCUAACUACGUGCCAGCAGCCGCGGUAAUACGUAGGUGGCAAGCGUUGUCCGGAUUUAUUGGGCGUAAAGCGAGCGCAGGCGGUUUCUUAAGUCUGAUGUGAAAGCCCCCGGCUCAACCGGGGAGGGUCAUUGGAAACUGGGAGACUUGAGUGCAGAAGAGGAGAGUGGAAUUCCAUGUGUAGCGGUGAAAUGCGUAGAUAUAUGGAGGAACACCAGUGGCGAAGGCGGCUCUCUGGUCUGUAACUGACGCUGAGGCUCCAAAGCGUGGGGAGCAAACAGGAUUAGAUACCCUGGUAGUCCACGCCGUAAACGAUGAGUGCUAAGUGUUGGAGGGUUUCCGCCCUUCAGUGCUGCAGCUAACGCAUUAAGCACUCCGCCUGGGGAGUACGACCGCAAGGUUGAAACUCAAAGGAAUUGACGGGGGCCCGCACAAGCGGUGGAGCAUGUGGUUUAAUUCGAAGCAACGCGAAGAACCUUACCAGGUCUUGACAUCCUUUGACCACUCUAGAGAUAGAGCUUCCCCUUCGGGGGCAAAGUGACAGGUGGUGCAUGGUUGUCGUCAGCUCGUGUCGUGAGAUGUUGGGUUAAGUCCCGCAACGAGCGCAACCCUUAUUGUUAGUUGCCAUCAUUCAGUUGGGCACUCUAGCAAGACUGCCGGUGACAAACCGGAGGAAGGUGGGGAUGACGUCAAAUCAUCAUGCCCCUUAUGACCUGGGCUACACACGUGCUACAAUGGGAAGUACAACGAGUCGCGAAGUCGCGAGGCUAAGCUAAUCUCUUAAAGCUUCUCUCAGUUCGGAUUGCAGGCUGCAACUCGCCUGCAUGAAGCCGGAAUCGCUAGUAAUCGCGGAUCAGCACGCCGCGGUGAAUACGUUCCCGGGCCUUGUACACACCGCCCGUCACACCACGAGAGUUUGUAACACCCGAAGUCGGUGAGGUAACCUUUUGGAGCCAGCCGCCUAAGGUGGGAUAGAUGAUUGGGGUGAAGUCGUAACAAGGUAGCCGUAUCGGAAGG